ACAAAAAUAUCCAAAUAUAUAUUAUUUUGGCCUAAAUAAACGCAUAAUUACAUUCAAAAAAUUGUUUCCUUUAUUAUUUCUAUGCUCAUGCAGUAGAGGGUUAAUAUUAAUGUCCGCCAACAUAUUAAAGUCAUCCCGUUUAAGGAACCAGUUCCAUAAUUCUACUCAGCUGCCCGACUCCGUGGACUCACGAGCCGUCGAUAGUCGCUUACUGAAUGCAUGCCUAUAGUAUUCUGGCCUAACGUAAACAACUUUGUUAAGUUUGUACUGUAAUUUAUGUAUUUUUGGGGAGGAAUAACCACGAUCAUAAAGACAUUAAUCUACGUGAGUGUAUCGCACAUAUAUCUUUAAACCACUCGUGGUCUAUGCGGCAACAACACGUUGCGACCAACAAUUACGAAGAUGAAAGUACGAGUAUGGCCGCAAGCAAAUAAGAAAAAGCUAAAGAAGCCCACUCCAGCCACAGUUUUGUUGCUGGGGUACUUCCUUCAGCACCAGCAACUCCGUUGGGAAUAAGAACUAUGGACUGCAUGUGGAGACAUCUGUAGGACAUGAACGUAGCUUCGAACGGACUCCUCUUUUUUGAUUGAUUUAAUUGAUUUGUUUGCCGCUUGGGACUGGUGUUCACAUAGACAAAUUCUGCGAGCUAACCUAGGAAGGAGCAAGACUGAAUAUAAUAAGCAGAACCACCAGUAAGCAGCUGGACUACACCAACACCAGCUACUAGUACUUUGGGAGAAAGGAGGAAAUAGCCAUUACCAGCUAUGGCCAGGAUACUGGACGCCUUCCUGCAGUAUCGGAGGAAGAACCCCGUUCCCAUCCCGGCUCCAACUCCCCCAAGGUCCAUGCCAGCAUAUUGGUAAUCGGAACUGCACGCAACAGAUGGCGAAGCAUACGAGACACUAAAAGGAAGCCUUAAAAUACUUAUUAACAAAAAACAAGGAAAAUGAUAUAAAAUAUUUUCUAGCAUGAUAA